GGGGGCGUCACGGCUUCGACGGAGAUGCUUGCGGCCAAGAGGCAUGCCGGGGUGCACGCACCCGUGAUCGUGUGCAAAAUGAUAAUUGCCAAUCAACAAAUGGCAUACGCAGCCUAAUUAAUUAGGCAGCCGCUUUCCACCGCUUUGCCCUUGGGCGGUGAGCGAGCGUCACACAGAGGGCUGCUCUUUCCGUCUACGUCUGGGGCGGAGAGUUAAAGACUUCAGGCUAGCGGUUAGCGUUUCUUGUCCGUUCUGAGCGCGCGCCGCGAACGUCCUGGGGUAAUGCCCAGGGCAUGAACGCGAAUAAGCAUGUAGGCUCUUGACCAGUAACAUUUUCGGACGCGGGUUCGACUCCCGCCGCCUCCACCA
rnacentral:tmRNA from 1 species